GUAGGACACAGGACCUUCUGAAAUUGUUGAAAAACUGGACAACAAUAGUGGGAUUAAAAGAACCACGUUUGUAAUCAUCAAUUUUUUAGAAACAGAUUAAACCAAAUCUCUUGGUAACAAACCCUUCUUUGCAUGGCUCAUCUGCUAGCUUUAAAAAACAGAAUGGUGUGUCCAAAAACAAGAGGCCCAUUUCAUGUUGUGUCUAUACAGCGUGUCAGCCAGCUGAUAAAAAAUGUCUCUCCAGUUGUAAUUGAGACUAUUUAAGCAAAACAAGGAAAUAGGAGUUUUAUUAGCAAGCCUGGAAAAGCUGACUAUGCCUACCCCUGGAUGCUGAACAGACCAACCAAAAGUUCUUGCCUUAGUAUUGUGGGGAGAGAAGGAGCACAGAGCGGACACACUUACACUAAGCAUGCAUUGGAUGUGCAUGUAUAUCUGUUUAAGAAUGUACAAUAUUUAGGAUAAAGGACAAUGCGGCUUUCUGGAUUGUGAACUUUAGUUACCAGGCCUCAAUUGACCCCCUUCUCCCCACCAGCUUCUUGGAAGGUUUUUCUUUUUUUUUUCUCAGUUGAUUCUUUCCGUCAUCAUUAUUAUCAGCUUCUGGCUUAGGAGCCCUAGGCAUGAAUCAAAAAUCCACACAGAACAAGAGUUUACAAUCCAAGGAUGUCUAUGUUACAGGGACAAGGCCAGCAUUGCUAUGGUGACAUAGCUACCGCAGCAUAAUGGUAGUAUAGACACUGCCUAUGCCAAUGGGAGGAGUUUUCCCACUGAAGUAGGAAUACCGCCUUCCCAAAUGGCAUUUAGCAGGAACGUUCUCCCACUGACCUAGCUGCAUCUGCACUGGAGGUUUGGUCAAUAUAGCUACAGCACUCAGGGAUAUGAAAAAUUGACACCUCUGACAGGGCCCUAAGUAUAAAACAACAGACAACAGAGGGGUACUGACAGACUGAGGAGGGAAUACAAGGGAACAGGGAGACAAUAUCUGUCAUCAUGGCUCGAUCCCCCGCGCCGCGAGUCACGCCGGCCUGAAGUGGGAAUUCAGACCGAAGAAGUGGAAUCUGGAGUGUUCCUGGCUUAUUUGUCAAAACUCAUGAGAAAUGCAUUUUAGCAGAGAUACAAAAAGAAAACAAAACUUUGCAAUCGUUCGUAUUUUUGUAAUGGCCCGCCUACUACAUCAAAGCGGAAGAUCUGCUCCAGGAAUGACUGGGUGAAAUUCUGGGCAAGAAGGUCAGACUAAAUUGUUACAGUUAUGCCUUUUGGCAUUAAAAUCUAUUAAAUAUUGAGUGCUUAUUAAACUCUCUUUUAUCUUUCGCUAAACCUGGUAUGAGUAGCGCAAUUCUAAUUCCCUCUUGUUCUUAAAAGGUAUCUGACUUGACGCUGACAUGGUUUGCUGGUGGUAUCAGUCAGAGGUAGACGUUUCCAAAAUGACGUUUGCAGUCAAAUUAUGGUGUAAUAUACAAAAGCCCUAAAGAACUAACUUCCGCUUGUAGUGCUGCUCUCAACUGCUUGCCUGUUUGCGUGACCCAUGAUCAUCUUUAGCUCCCACGUUCAUCAGAUGAAGUGGGUUUUGCUCACGAAAGCUCAUGAC